AGGGAUCCUCCCUCUCCAAUCCCCGCCGCCAGCAUCUCCCACCUCGGGAUCCAUCUCCACCCAAUCCAACCACCAUCUCCAUUUCCGUGCCCGCCCAACCACUGCAAAGCCGAAGCCCCCUGCCUUCCCGAUCCACCCACCGAGCCAACCAGCACCGCCCAGGCCUGUACGGUCCCUGGCCCGCACUCUCUGCUCCCUCGCUCUCGAUUGGAUCGAGGGAAGGAGCCCCUCGACCCCGACCACGCCAUCCGAUCCUUCCCGCCGGCUUGCCGGAGUCGCUGCCGGCGACCACCUCGGAUCAGGCGACCCCACGCUCUCCUCGUCCUUCUUCCCUGCCAUCUGUUGUUGCCCCAGGUCAUUAGCGCCGCCGUUCCGCACUAUUCCUCUCUGCUCCCUCUCCCUCAUGAGCUUCCUCUCUCUCUCACUCUCUCCCGCAGGAUUGUCCCGUCGCCGCCCUGGAAGCUCCAGCGACCCCCACAUCACCAGAUCUGGCGGAUCCCGGCCUUCUUCGCCCGUUCCUGGUCCUCCUCCGCGCCUCACCGUCGGCGAGCCCCCGUCGUCCACCGCCACUGUUGCGUCCUCCUCCCUGCUCGUGCAGAGGCACGCUGACGAUGAGCAGGACCUGCUCGCUCCGCUUGUAGGCCCCGCCGUGGGCCAGAUCCAUCCAAGGCCCAGGAGCCCCUUGCCAGGCCUCUUUUCCACCGAACGGGCCUUGGCCCAUGUGAGCAGCGCCCAGCCCCUAUCCUGUGUUUGUUGGGCUAGGUAGUUUCAGCCCAUGGACAUGUUUUUUUUCCUGGAUGAAUUUAAUCAUUUUUCCAGAGAUUACAGUUUUACAGAAAAGCCCCUAAACUUCAUGCAUUUAAUAUCUCCACAACCAUGCAUCAGAUUAAAACAACUUAUAUAUGUAAAAUGCCUAGAAUUUUGUGUAGUUUCAUAAUAUGCCACUUUUAUCCAUGUUUGAAAUGCUUAAAAUGCUGUUUGGUUAAAUUUACUCCUAUGCCAUGUUAAAAUGCUUUAAUUCAUAACUAAAUAACCGUAACUCCGAAUUUAAUAAACUUUAUAUGUAAACGGGGUGGAAAAUGCCUAGUUUAACAUGGUGCACUCAUCUUGCAUGUUUAACAACUAUAAAAUUUGGUUUAGGGCAGAACAGUACCAAAUCCAUAAAUAUGCACAUGAGGAUUUUCCAGACUUGUUGCUUGUUGUUCCGGCCUCAUUUAAACUUGCCUAGUUAGGUAGUUUUGUUGUGCUUCACCCCUUGCCAUGUUAAUCAACAUUUAAUAUUGUUGGGUACAUAAACGAGAUCGAACUAAAUAACUUGAAUGUGGUGUUUCUUCAACAUGCAACUCAUUGCAUAUUGAGCUCCACUUAAUUUGUAGUAUUGUUUGUGCACUUUGCCAUGCCAUGCAUAUUUCAACCGGACAUGCAUCAUACUUGGUUGUGCAUCAUGCCAUGUUAUGUGAUGGUUGCUUACUAUGUUGUUUGCUUCUUUCCGGUGUUGCUUCUCCGGGUUAGUUCGAUAAUGUCGCGUUUGUGAGGAUCCGUUCGACUACGUCCGCUUGUCCUCUUCAUGGACUCGUUCUUCUUCCUUGUGGGAUCUCAGGCAAGAUGACCAUACCCUCGAAAUCACUUCUAUCUUUGCUUGCUAGAUGCUCGCUCUUUUGCUAUACCUAUGCUACGAUACCUACCACUUGCUUAUCAUGCCUUCCAUAUUGCCGUGUCAAACCUCUAACCUACCUUGUCCUAGCAAACCGUUGUUUGGCUAUGUUACCGCUUUGCUCAGCCCCUCUUAUAGUGUUGCUAGUUGCAGGUGAAGAUUGGAGAUCGUUCCUUGUUUGGAACAUGUUUAUUGUUGGGAUAUCAUAAUAUUAUCUUGUUUAUCUUAAUGCACCUAUAUACAUAGUAAAGGGUGGAAGGCUCAGCCUUAUGCCUGGUGUUUUGUUCCACUCUUGCCGCCCUAGUUUCCGCCAUACCGGUGUUAUGUUCCUUGAUUUUGCGUUCCUUACACGGUUGGGUUAUAAUGGGAACCCCUUGACAGUUCGCCUUGAAUAAAACUCCUCCAGCAAUGUCCAACAUUGGUUUUACCAUUUGCCACCUAGCCUCUUUUUCCCUUGGGUUCCGUGGACUCAAGGGUCAUCUUUAUUAAACCCCCCGGGCUAGUGCUCCUCUGAGUGUUGGUCCAAACUAGAGCCCUUUGCAGCGCCCCCUCGGGGAAACUCAAGGGUUGGUUUUAGUUGUACGGAGCGCUCAUCUGAGUGUGCCCUGAGAACGAGAUAUGUGCAGCUCCUAUCGGGAUUUCUCGGCACAUUCGGGCGGUGUUGCUGGACUUGUUUCACCAUUGUCGAUAUGUCUUGUAACCGGGAUUCCGAGCCUGAUCGGGUCUUCCUGAGAGAAGGAAUAUCCUUCGUUGACCGUGAGAGCUUGUGAUGGGCUAAGUUGGGACACCCCUGCAGGGAUUUGAACUUUUGAAAGCCAUGCCCGCGGUUAUGGGCAGAUGGGAAUUUGUUAAUGUCCGGUUGUAGAAAACCUGAAACUUAUCUUAAGUAAAAUGCAUCAACCGCGUGUGUAGCCGUGAUGGUAUCUUUUCGACGGAGUCCGGGAAGUGAACACGGUGUUGGAGUUAUGUUUGACGUAGGUUGUUCUAGGAUCACUUCUUGAUCAUAGUUUCUCGACCGUGCUUUGCCUUCUCUUCUCGCUCUCAUUUGCGUAUGUUAGCCACCAUAUAUGCUAGUCGCUUGCUGCAGCUCCACCUCAUAUCUUUUACCUUACCCAUGAGCUUAAAUAGUAUUGAUCGCGAGGGUGUGAGAUUGCUGAGUCCCAGUGACUCACAAAUACUUCCAAAACCAGCUUGCAGGUGCCGUUGAACCGUGCAGGUGACGCAACCGAGCUCAAGGAGGAGCUCGAUGAAGAUCGUGUUUGUUAUGUUGUUUUCGUUUCCAGUUGAUCAGUAGUGGAGCCCAGUCGGGAUGAUCGAGGAUCUGUGUAGCAUUCGGGGUAGUCUUCUUUUAUUUUGGGUUCCGUAGUCGGACCUUGUUUGUAUCUGGUGAUGUAAUGCUUUAUUCAUGUAAUUGUGUGAAGUGGCGAUUGUAAGCCAACUAUGUAUCUCUUUCCCUUAUGUAUUACAUAGGAUGUGUGAAGAUUACCUCACUUGCGACAUUGCUUUCAAUGCGGUUAUGCCUCUAAGUCGUGCUUUGACACGUGGGAGAUAUAACCGCAUCGAGGGCGUUAAAAGUUGGUAAUCAGAGCCUUCCCCGACCUUAGGAGCCCCCCUGCUUGAUCGAAUCGCUGGCGUUGUUGAGUCUAGAAAAAUGUUUUGAGUCAUUUAGGAUUAUAUAUAUCGGAGAGUAGGAUUCUUUUUACCCCUCAGUCCCUUCGUCGCUCUAGUGAGGUAUCCUGACAUAGAGUUUUGACUCGUCUCUUCUCAAAUUUCACUAAAUUUUUUG
rnacentral:lncRNA from 1 species